rnacentral:ncRNA from 1 species
GCCUUUGGGGCAGGGUGCAAUUCCCGAUCGGCGGUACAGUCCGCGAGCGCAUGGCGCAGACCCGGUGCAACUCCGGGACCGACAGUAUAGUCUGGAUGAUAAAAGGC